rnacentral:rRNA from 1 species
UACGUAGGCAGCAAGCGUUGUUCGGAAUUACUGGGCGUAAAGAGUGUGUAGGCGGUGUUCUAAGUUUGGUGUGAAAUCUCCCGGCUCAACUGGGAGGUGCGCCGAAAACUGGAAUGCUAGAGUAUGGGAGAGGUAAGCGGAAUUCCUGGUGUAGCGGUGAAAUGCGUAGAUAUCAGGAGGAACACCUAUGGCGAAGGCAGCUCUCUGGGGACGGUACUGACGCUGAGACGCGAAAGCGUGGGGAGCGAACAGG